GACGAACGCUGGCGGCGUGCCUAAUACAUGCAAGUCGAACGCAGUGGGGACGGUUGAUUAACACGUGGGUAACCUCCCAUCAGAGGGGAUAACACUUGGAUACAGCUUCUAAACCUAUCCUGAUGGAUGAACCCGCGGUGCAUUAGCUAGUUGGUGAGGUAACGGCCUACCAAGGCCACGAUGCAUAGCCGGCCUGAGAGGGUGAUCGGCAACACGGGGACGGAGACACGGCCCAGACGCGUACGGGAGGCAGCAGUAGGGAAUAUGCGGCAAUGGGCGAAAGUCUGACCGAGCAACGCCGCGUGAGUGAAGAAGGUUUUAGGAGCGUAAAGCUCUGUUGUUAGAGAAGCGGUAUCUAACCAGAAAGCCACGGCUAACUACGUGCCAGCAGCCGCGGUAAUAC
rnacentral:rRNA from 1 species